UCCUAACGAUCCUCAAUAGGAUUUUCGGGUCUUUCGUCUGACAUUCCUUUUAGUUCUAUAUUUUCCGGGUGAGUGGGAUAAUCUUUAAAAUGCAUAUAUGAUAAGUAAAUAUGUAUGUUGAUUUUAUAAUGAGUACAACUCGUUAAUUUCUUGAAUAAUUAUAUAUGUUGCUUAUUUUCCGAGUACUCAUUUAUUCUUGAAUUUGCACUCGCAAUCUGUCAAAGCAAAUUCUAUUUGAUAUGAUAUAUGUUCUUUGAUGAUUAUGUGAAUAUCUAAUAUGCCUUGAUAUGGGACUUGUCAGUAACUCCAUGCUAACGGAGAGUAGUUAGCCUAUGUGCACAUAGUAUUCUGUAUACCUAGCUGGUGAGAGAGGCAUCAGCCUGUGGCGACUGAUCAUCCCACAGUGGUCACCUUUGGGUGUCAUCUGGUCACCUGUGUGUGUCAUCUGGUCACCUUCGGGUGUCAUCUGAUCUCUGACAUGUACUCCACUACGUUAUGAUGAUAUGUUUAGUAUGUAUAUGAUAUGUAUAUGAUAUGUUCAGUAUGUAUAUGUAUAUGUAUAUCAAGAUAAAGGAUCUUGCGAACUAUUAAUAUCAAGAAUAUCUAAAAUGUAUAUUAAUUAUUAUUCCCUCAUUGAGUUGGUUGAACUCACCCCUCAUUCUUAAUAUUAUUUCAGGUUCUUAGUUUCUGAUAGUAGGUGAACUUUGUUGAGUGUUCCUGCUUCUUCAGUUUUGGGUCGGUAUGCCUUGCUUAUCUUUCAAGGCUGUUUGAUUCAAUGUCUUAGGCGCUCCACUAUUACCUUGUUUUGAUUAAGUUUGGAUUUUGACAAUGUAAUGAGUAUUAUGGA
rnacentral:lncRNA from 1 species